rnacentral:rRNA from 1 species
GACGAACGCUGGCGGCGUGCCUAAUACAUGCAAGUCGAGCGAAGUUUUUCUGGUGCUUGCACCGGAAAAACUUAGCGGCGAACGGGUGAGUAACACGUAAAGAACCUGCCUCAUAGACUGGGACAACUAUUGGAAACGAUAGCUAAUACCGGAUAAUAGCAUUAACUGCAUGGUUGAUGUUUAAAAGUUGGUUUUGCUAACACUAUGAGAUGGCUUUGCGGUGCAUUAGCUAGUUGGUGGGGUAAAGGCCUACCAAGGCGACGAUGCAUAGCCGACCUGAGAGGGUGAUCGGCCACACUGGGACUGAGACACGGCCCAGACUCCUACGGGAGGCAGCAGUAGGGAAUCUUCCGCAAUGGGCGAAAGCCUGACGGAGCAACGCCGCGUGAGUGAAGAAGGAUUUCGGUUCGUAAAGCUCCGUUGUUAGGGAAGAAUGAUUGUGUAGUAACUAUACACAGUAGAGACGGUACCUAACCAGAAAGCCACGGCUAACUACGUG